CCUUUCGCCAAGUGAUUAGUUACCUGUCCAGCACACAGAAACACCUUCUGCUAAAGAAAUGUGAGAAGAGAAGCAGAAACGUGCUGUUUGGAAACAAUUCUCCUGUUCCACAGCCAGGAGGUUUCCGGAGACCUAUUUCAGCCUUGCUUCUACCUUCAUCAUGAAAAGGAGGAAGUUCAAACUGAAGUGAGUUACAAACUUCAUUUCCAACAGUGGAUUGUGGCUUGGCCUUGAGCAUGAUGAAGAAGAACAAGAUGGAAGCGGAUGAGCAGGAGCCUCUCUGGAUCCCACAGUCUCAUGGUCUAGGGCAUCUUAAGAAUAUACUGGAUGGAGGAGAGUAUUCCCCUUUUAUAUCUCCUCCCAUUCUGGAGAGCAAUUUUAUUCAGGUCAAUAGGAGAGGUGAAUCUAUUUAUCUGCAUAACCGAGCUAACUGGGUGACUGUAGGCAUCUGCUCUUCCAAUCCCAUCCUCAAGACCCCCAACAUGAUGCUGUUGGCACAUCUGACACCAGAGGCUCGAAAAGAAUCAGAUCCCAUCUUUAAAAGCCUCCUGACACCUUCCUCUACAGAGAAUCUGGUGCUCACCAGGUUUCUCCCACUGCAGUUUGUGACUCUUUCUGUGCACAGUGCUAAGAACAUGAGACUCAAAGUAAAGCUGAUAAGUGGCCGAGCCUACUAUUUACAGCUCUGUGCUCCUGUAUAUAAACAGGAUAUCAUAUUUUCUCAGUGGGUAGACCUCAUCGCCCUCUUGACUCAGGAGAAAGCCAGAACUUCCAAAGUAUCAGAGGUCUCAAGCCUCUCAGAAAUCACAAACAGCACGGAUAUCACAGACUCAAUGGACAUCAUGGAGAUGACAGCUUUCUCAGAGAUACGGGCCAUGCACCCACACGCUCGCAUAUACUCUGCUAACAUCAAUCAAAGCGCAGACUUCUCAGAAUUUACAGAUGUCACCGAUAUCACAGACGUCACUGACGUCACUGACAUUCCAGAAUAUCAGGCCACAGAUGUUCCAGAUAUAAAAAUUGUCACAGAAGUCACAGAAGUCAUAGAAGAAAAAGAUGACACAAACAUCUCAGGGGUUACAGUAGUAUUUGAAAACGACGACAUAUUAAAGGCCAAGCAAGAGGAAAAGGAAAAUGUCAUGAAACAUGGGUGUCUACGAAACAUGAACAGUAAGAACGAGUUCAGAGAAUCCCCCAAACAUGUCACCAUCUCAGACCUAACAAUCACUUUCCAAGGUGAAAAAUGUUUCCAGACUUCUUUGGCUCCUAUAAAAAGUGAGGGAAACAUAUGCAAAGUAAUGGAUGAUGAAACCAGGGAAGAAAAGAUGACUGACCUUCCAAAAGCGGGUCUCAAGGCUACAGUAUCCAGGAGCACAAACACUGAUUCAGACACUUCAGGCUUAUACAGUUUUUCAGUUUUCCCCCUGAUUAGCAUUUCCUUUCCCCUUUUCACUCUCCUCUAGCUCGUGAUUUCCCCUUCCACACACUCUUCCCAUUUGUUAACACUCUUUACCUCAAGAAAGCAAAGACUACCAUAUCCUAAACCCUCAUUCUAUUAAACUCAGGAUGAACAAAGGCUAAAAAUGUGUCUGCAAUUCUAAUUUCUAGGUAAGGCCAGAAUAAUAAUGCUGCCCAAAGAAGGAAAGUAAAUCCCUGGUGCGGUGCGAACUUGUCUGAUUCUCUCUCCCAGCUCCCAGGCAGUGCUAGCUGAGGACAGACACCCGAUUCCUCUCCCACAUCCUCUGCAGUUGAAGGGGGUUUCCUUCUCUUCCUCACAGUGUUUGAUCCAAAGUGGCACUUCGAACGCACCGCUUCUAUACACAAGGCCGUGAAAUGACAGACAGGGCAGACCCCAAACUAGACCUGUCGCUCUGGACCUGAGUCCAUUUCUCUCCUUUCUUGUCAUUUCUUACCUUUCAAGGCUUCCUUCUCCUCAACUGUUUCUGAUUCCUUUGUAGUGAGCCCAGAUGGCAGGCUUUUCUCUGGUGCCACAGUAUUUUUCCUAGAUGAAAAAAAAAAGUGAGAUCAAAGAUAAGGUAUAUGAAAUACUGUCUCCUUCCCACCCUACUUCUUUUUCAUCUUCCUGUUCAAUAUUACAAAUCAAGUUCUAAGCGGCCACGUUCAUUCCCUGCUUGUGAAACCUGAACUAAAAAGGAAAAGGGAGGGAAAGCCCCGGAAGGGACCAGGGAGAGUGUACAUGCGCCAAGUAAAACAGAACAAGUCACAAUCAAUGGGCAUACCUGUUAGAUGACCCAAAG